rnacentral:misc_RNA from 1 species
GGUCUGGAUUGUUCAAUAGGUCUACGCCUAUGGCUCUCCCACACUGCCCAUAAUUGUAAUUCCAUGAAAUUUGGAUAGGACCUCUACCGUAAUAUUGUUUGCCAGGAGCACAAGGAUAAGUGGGACUUGGAGAACAGUAAGACCCUGGAUUUUGUUCCCUCAGAUAGCAAUAUCCCCAAGCAAAUGGUCCAUCUGGUGCAGUUCCCCACCCUCCUGUAGUUUCAUGAGAUGUCUGGGCAAAGAAGGCAGCAAUCUCCCUUUUACGUGUCGCAACAUCCCCGGUGGUGCCGAAGGUAGGAAAAGCUUUGGCUGCUGAGAUAAAAGCGUCAUAGGUGUAAAAUCCCUUGGCAGGGCAAGCACCAUCAUUUCUAUGUUUGAGCAUCUGAUUAAACGUUGCUCCUGAGAUGAUACUAGUAAUGUCUCCGCCGCCGCUGCCUCCACCGCCACAUUGGCUUUGGCAGGUGGCACCACAGUAAUCAGGCGUGUUACCACACCAACCAAAUUGGCUACAACAUAGGCCUCCUGGGCAUAAGGCACCCCCAGCUUGCCUUCCACAUUGCUCAGCUGAAGUUCCAAGCAAAAGGGACGCCAACAGCAUACAAGAAACUGUGAAAGCCAAAGCCCUCAUGUCUAUAUAUGUUAUUUUUGUGAUAUAAUUAUAUUUCUGGAUGAUGAUUAGAAGAAGGGAAUAUAUAUAUAGAGCAAGAGCGAGAGAGAG